GACGAACGCUGGCGGCGUGCUUAACACAUGCAAGUCGAACGGAAAGGCCCUGCUUGCAGGGUACUCGAGUGGCGAACGGGUGAGUAACACGUGGGUGAUCUGCCCUCCACUUCGGGGUAAGCCUGGGGAACUGGGUCUAAUACCGGGUAGAAGCCAUUCUUAGUGUGAUGGUUGGAAAGUUUUUUCGGUGUGGGAUGAGCUCGCGGCCUAUCGGCUUGUUGGUGGGGUAAUGGCUUACAAAGGCGGCGAUGGGUAGCCGGCCGGGAGGGGGGACCGGCCAAAUGGGGCCUAGGUUCGGCCCAGGCCUCCACGGGGGGCAAGAGGUGGGAAUAUUGCACCAUGGGCGGAAGCCUGAUGCAGGGACGCCGCGUGGGGGAUGAAGGGCUUCGGGUUGGAAACUCGUUUCGCUCGGGACGAAGCUGUUUGUGACGGUAACGAGAUAAGAAGCACCGGCUAACUACGUG
rnacentral:rRNA from 1 species